GGAAUCAUUGGGUUAAAGGGUCCAGUAGGGCGGUUUAGUAAGUCAGUGGUGAAGGCCCAUCGCUCAACGGUGGAACGGCCAUUGAUACUGCUAAACUUGAAUUAUUAGGAAGUAACUAGAAUAUGUAGUGUAGCGGUGAAAUGCUUAGAGAUUACAUGGAAUACCAAUUGCGAAGGCAGGUUACUACUAAUGGAUUGACGCUGAUGGACGAAAGCGUGGGUAGCGAACAGGAUUAGAUACCCUGGUAGUCCACGCCGUAAACGAUGGAUACUAGCUGUUGGGAGCAAUCUCAGUGGCUAAGCGAAAGUGAUAAGUAUCCCACCUGGGGAGUACGUUCGCAAGAAUGAAACUCAAAGGAAUUGACGGGGGCCCGCACAAGCGGUGGAGCAUGUGGUUUAAUUCGAUGAUACGCGAGGAACCUUACCAAGGCUUAAAUGUAGAUUGACCGGUUUGGAAACAGACUUUUCGCAAGACAAUUUACAAAGUGCUGCAUGGUUGUCGUCAGCUCGUGCCGUGAGGUGUCAGGUUAAGUCCUAUAACGAGCGCAACCC
rnacentral:rRNA from 1 species